GUGGGGAAUAUUGGACAAUGGGCGAAAGCCUGAUCCAGCCAUGCCGCGUGUGUGAAGAAGGUCUUCGGAUUGUAAAGCACUUUAAGUUGGGAGGAAGGGCAGUAAGUUAAUACCUUGCUGUUUUGACGUUACCGACAGAAUAAGCACCGGCUAACUUCGUGCCAGCAGCCGCGGUAAUACGAAGGGUGCAAGCGUUAAUCGGAAUUACUGGGCGUAAAGCGCGCGUCGGUGGUUUUGUAAGUUGGAGGUGAAAUCUCCGGGCUCAACCGGGGAACUGCAUCCAAAACUGCAUGACUAGAGUACGGUAGAGGGUAGUGGAAUUUCCUGUGUAGCGGUGAAAUGCGUAGAUAUAGGAAGGAACACCAGUGGCGAAGGCGACUACCUGGACUGAUACUGACACUGAGGUGCGAAAGCGUGGGGAGCAAACAGGAUUAGAUACCCGGGUAGUCC
rnacentral:rRNA from 1 species